UACGUAGGUGGCAAGCGUUAUCCGGAAUGAUUGGGCGUAAAGGGUGCGCAGGCUGCAUGCCAAGUCUGAAGUGAAAGGUACGGGCUUAACCUGUAUAUGCUUCGGAAACUGGCAGGCUAGAGGACAGGAGAGGGCGGUGGAACUCCAUGUGUAGCGGUAAAAUGCGUAGAUAUAUGGAAGAACACCAGUUGCGAAGGCGGCCGCCUGGACUGUUACUGACGCUCAUGCACGAAAGCGUGGGGAGCAAAUAGG
rnacentral:rRNA from 1 species